rnacentral:rRNA from 1 species
UAACUUAGGCAUAACAAUGGUGUUUAUCGGGCGACUGUAUAGCAAAUACACAAGUUUUAGUUAAAGAUGUUUAGAUUUUAGAGCUGAUAUGUCACCAGUAUUUAGCCAGCUUAGUAGGACUUCUCAUGGUUUAGACAAACGUUGGCCGUAACUAUAACGGUCGUAAGGUAGCAAAUUUCCUUGUCGUUUAAGUAACGACCUGCAUGAAGCAUGGAACGAUUGGAUAGCUGUCUUGCGUACAUGUCCUGCUGAAAUAUUAGGUGGUGUGAAGAUACGCUGUGAGAAUUAUUUUACUCAAAUCAAGGGUUAUGGGACAAAAAGACCCUGUGAAGCUUUAUAGGGAUAGAAUUCAGUACAGGUUCUAUAUUGGUAUAUCUUCAUUUCAUGGGAAAGCUGACUUUAUUUCAUUCGAUAUGAACUUAGAAUUAUGCCUAUGUUUUCCAUAUAUGCAAGACACCAUCCUGUGAGAAUUGCGAAUUAAAGAACGAUUUGUGAAUAUCAUGUUAGAUGGGCUGUUUAAUUGGGGCGAUGACCUUCUUUAAUCGAACUAAAGGUGAACAAAGCUAUUGAUGUGGGCUACCGAAAAUCAAAGGACUAAUAAGUGCAAAGAUAGAUGUGUGGCUUAAUGGUUGCUAUAUUCCUUACCAGUAUUUAAAUGCUGUCUUAGUGACCUUUAAAUUAAUUUACCAACACCAAGCUACUCUAGGGAUAACAGGCUUAAUGUGUUCGAAAUAAGCUCACAUUAUAACAUCAUUGGCACCUCGAUGUCGGCUUAUCAUCACCAAAAUCUGUAGCUGGUUUAUUGGUGGGAGUGCUCAUCCCAUAACAAGGUACGUGAGCUGGGUUCAGAACGAUGUAAAUCAGUUUGGUCUAUAAC